rfam:Martelella sp. AD-3, complete genome.
CACACGCAGGCCAUGGGAUGUUCCGGGAGAAAUCCGGUGCGUUCCGCCGGUGUCAGGCGUCAUUGACGUCUGGUCUCAGGUCUGCGGAGGUUCAACCGGAAAAGGAGAAAAGGC